rnacentral:rRNA from 1 species
CUACGGGUGGCUGCAGUGGGGAAUAUUGCACAAUGGGCGCAAGCCUGAUGCAGCAACGCCGCGUGGGGGACGAAGGCCUUCGGGUUGUAAACCUCUUUUAGUAGGGAAGAAGCGCAAGUGACGGUACCUACAGAAAAAGCACCGGCUAACUACGUGCCAGCAGCCGCGGUAAUACGUAGGGUGCAAGCGUUGUCCGGAAGUAUUGGGCGUAAAGAGCUCGUAGGCGGUUUGUCGCGUCUGCUGUGAAAAUCCGAGGCUCAACCUCGGACCUGCAGUGGGUACGGGCAAACUAGAGUGCGGUAGGGGAGAUUGGAAUUCCUGGUGUAGCGGUGGAAUGCGCAGAUAUCAGGAGGAACACCAAUGGCGAAGGCAGAUCUCUGGGCCGUAACUGACGCUGAGGAGCGAAAGCGUGGGGAGCGAACAGGAUUAGAUACCCUCGUAGUC